UACAGAGGGUGCGAGCGUUGUCCGGAAUCACUGGACGUAAAGGGCGCGUAGGCGGCUUGAUAAGGUUGCGGUGAAAGCCCGGGGCUCAACCCCGGGUCGGCCGUGGCAACUGUCGAGCUGGAGCACUGUAGAGGCAGGUGGAAUUCCGGGUGUAGCGGUGGAAUGCGUAGAGAUCCGGAAGAACACCGGUGGCGAAGGCGGCCUGCUGGGCAGUGGCUGACGCUGAGGCGCGACAGCGUGGGGAGCAAACAGG
rnacentral:rRNA from 1 species